rnacentral:rRNA from 1 species
UUGAACGCUGGCGGCAUGCUUUACACAUGCAAGUCGAACGGUAACAGGCCGCAAGGUGCUGACGAGUGGCGAACGGGUGAGUAAUGCAUCGGAACGUGCCCAGUCGUGGGGGAUAACUACUCGAAAGAGUAGCUAAUACCGCAUACGAUCUAUGGAUGAAAGCGGGGGACCGUAAGGCCUCGCGCGAUUGGAGCGGCCGAUGUCAGAUUAGGUAGUUGGUGGGGUAAAGGCUCACCAAGCCAACGAUCUGUAGCUGGUCUGAGAGGACGACCAGCCACACUGGGACUGAGACACGGCCCAGACUCCUACGGGAGGCAGCAGUGGGGAAUUUUGGACAAUGGGCGCAAGCCUGAUCCAGCAAUGCCGCGUGCAGGAAGAGGGCCUUCGGGUUGUAAACUGCUUUUGUACGGAACGAAACGGCUCUGGUUAAUACCCGGGGCUAAUGACGGUACCGUAAGAAUAAGCACCGGCUAACUACGUG